rnacentral:rRNA from 1 species
GAUAAACGCUUGCGGUGUGCCUAAUACAUGCAAGUCGAACGGAGAAUUAGCAAUAGUUCUUAGUGGCGAAUGGGUGAGUAACGCGUUGGUGACCUGCCCCGAAGUGAGGAAUAACAGUUCGAAAGGACUGCUAAUACCACAUGUGGUCAGCGGGAUUAGAAACCGCUGUCUAAAGGAGUAAUCCGCUUUGGGAGGGGCCUGCGUCCCAUCAGCUAGUUGGUAGAGUAAUAGCCUACCAAGGCGACGACGGGUAGGGGGCCUGAGAGGGUGGCCCCCCACAUUGGCACUGAAACACGGGCCAAACACCUACGGGUGGCUG